UGACUUACUUUCAUGGGACGGUUUGUCUUUGUACUUAGAGCAUUUAGGAGAGCUUAGAAAGUCCCUGUAAAGGAUGUCGGUACAAAUCCCUCGUGUUCCAGUCAACCGCUGCUGCACAACAAACCAGCACAGAACCUGACUUGAGACAACAACAUUAUCUCCCAUAGUCCAGUGUGUUUAUGGACCUCAGCUACAGGUUCUUACGGGGACUCUCAUGCCAUUGCAUUCAGAUGUCAGCUGGGGCUGCGUCACAUGAAGGCCUUUCCAUGGACAUAGCAACCUCCUGGACAUAACCUCACCUCUCCUGACUAAUCUACCAGCCAACGAGAGAAGAGAGGGAUCUUUCGUCCUUGAACUCCCAGCACCACCAUCUCUCCUGUACUGCUCACACCAAACUUAUAGCCCGACAUAUUGGUGGCAAAGUCAAGGCAGAAGAAAGAGAAGGCCAUCUGGUGAAGCAGGGAAGGUGCUGGUAUUGUUACAGGUGGAACCUGUGGGUGCUCAGGUGGGAAGAAGGUCCAGAGGAGGUGGCCAGCCCAUAUGCCACGUGCCUCUAGGCCCCCAUCUCUAUCCCAAGCCUCAGCAAGAGCUUCUAUGGGCAGGUGCUGACAAGGAGGCCAUCUUCAGCCCAGCAAGCAGAGUUGUCUGAGUGAAGGCCCCGUACAGCCUAACCCCUACUGCCCUCUCCAGCUUUCUCAUUCCCUCCUUCCACACGGUGCGCUGAAACCCGCAGUUUCUCCCAACCUCUGUGCCUGUCUCUGGCCUUCUGCAUAUCCUGUUCCUGCCACUCAGAAUGUUCUGUUCUGGCUUCAGAGGCUGAAGUUCAUUCUGUAGGUCUGGACUUAAAAACAUUAUUUGCUCUAGAAAGACAGCUGCCCACCUCCGGAGCGCCCUCUGCCCCAUCUCGCCAGGUCUCCCCAGCCUGCUGGGCCGUCAUUCUGUGGGGCUCGCCCUCUCAUCCUUUAGGCCACUGACCCAACACUAGAGUCUGGUCAGCAGAUGAAGCAGGCAGGUCAGCCAACAGCAACAGUAGGCAAGAGCCUCAGCCUUCCAGGAGGGGACCUUUCCCGUCAGGAUAACUGACCAACUGACCCCUGUACCAUGACCACCAGAUGGGUCAUUUGUGAGGCUCUUUCUUCCAUAAAAAAGAAGUCAGUGAGAUAAAAGGACUAUAUGAGCACUAAGUAGAAGAGGAGGAAGCUAGGUCAGUUUCCAGGUUUUGCACAAUAGUCAAGAGAUUCCUACAUACCCCACCCAAAGCUGACCAACGUUCUCUCCCAGAGAGGAAUGAGCAGGCAUGACCUUCCACGCCGGGUUCUGAAAGCAAGGUCUCGACUCUCCCUCUUAGGACCUGCUUUGCUCCGUUCUGCCUGGGAGUUGGCUGUGUGUCCCCCAGAGCAAUAAUCAACUAUCUCUAGUUCCCUCCGCCCCAUACAGACAAAGAAGAAACCCAGGCAAUAGGGCAAAAGCGAAAUAAAUGAUAAAGAAUACAGUUCUCACUGAGAAGCCCAUCAACAGUCUGAGCCUUCCUGAAAGCCUGUUGUCUCACACUGAAAUACCAAAGCAGCCCCAGGUGGCUCUGGGAGUGCUGGCCAAGAGAGGCAACCUUCCUCUAUCAGACAAUUUCCAUCCCCAUGGGAGAAACGCAGCCCCUGAAGUCCCCGGCCAUUGCAUGGACAAUGUCAGGACCGCACUCAUCUGCAAAUAAAACCCCUAUUUCCCGAAGACAGGUGAACCCCCACUCCCAAAGGGAACAGGACACAUAGACAUAUUCUUUCUCCUUCCCCCAUCCCAUGACUUUAUUUCUCCUACCUUAAAGAUGGUAGGCCAGAGUAAUUUGGAGAGAUCUUUGUAACACGUAUUCCCUCGUAAACAGUGGGGGGCCCAAAAACAUGCUGAUGAAACAAAGUCAAAGGAGAGCAGAGACAAGAAUUAAUGCUUGUUUAACCUAGGACGUACCAUGUGCUAAAACAGCUGCUCUCAUUCAUUAACUUAUCAAUACCCACAAAAAUCUUCUGAGGUCCGAAUUGCCAUACGUUAUAAAAGAGAUAACUGAGAAUCAGAGAGGUUCAGCAACUUGUCCAAGAUCACACAGUAGAGGUAGGAAAACCUAAUAGGAUCAUCUUUUUGUUGUUAUUAUGGUUUUCUCCUCACCUUAACAUGGCUGUUGGCCUUCUGCUCCCCCGGAAUGCGAAUCCGUCUGCUGUCAGGAGAAGACCUCUCCCCUCGUGCCUUCCCACCAACUCCCCCAUUCCCACCCAGGCCCGUGUCUGUUUGACAAACUGCAGGAGGGAAAGCUGCUCCAGGCACAGCUCAAGCUGCAAAGCUUUUAGGAAUGUGGGGUUUAAGACACCUUCUUUGAAUGAUCCCAAAUCUGUGAGACACAAAUAAAACCCAGAAUUCUUCAGCUGUGGUCUAUUGGAAUAUCUGGACCCUUUUCCCAGCAUCAUGACAUCAUUUUCCUUCCAGACUUCGAUGUUAAAAAUAGUCUAGCAAAGCCUUUGAACCACUGUCUCCUUAAAACACAAUAUGGAUUGUAUGUGUGUUUAGCACUUUGAAGAAACACUCUGUGACAGGAGACAGGCUGGCCGACUGCCCCCUCAGAGGAUGCACAGGCUCGUUGCACUUACACUAAACAGACACGCACACACACUCAGGCUGCUCUUAUGUGAGACAACCACUCCUAAGCCACGGCUCACAAGCCUUAAAACAGCCCUGUGAGGCGACCAGCACUCCGGACGACCGCCCCAUGUUCUGUCUCCCAUUCAGGUAGCUUGAAAGCCUGAUCAGGCAGAAUUUUAAGAAGCUGCCAUUUUAAUAUUUCUAACAGCUUUUCUGUCUGGAUGGGCACAACACAUUUGGUUCGAGAAAAUGUUACUUUCUGGCUUCUUUAAAGCGAGGCGGUUGGCCUCCUCUGCUCUGGUGCCUUAACGAAGGCCUCUCCUGGAGACACUUCAUAGGCGGGACAGGCGCUGACAGGACAUGAGAACGUUUGCCAGAAGCCAACACACUUCCUGGGGGGCGCAAGGAUGGGGCACCGACCUGAGUCCUUGCGGUUCAUGAUACAGGAGGCCCUCCUUCGGACUAGAAUAUUCCACCUCGGUCAGAUGACAGGACAAGAGCAAGCCCCUCAGUGGAAAACGGGUGUUUGACUGGAAAGCCCAGACCAGCUAGCUGGGCAGCCCUCCCAAAGCAGGUGCCCUGGCACAAAGGCGGCUGAUCCUUCAGCCUCGUGGGUAAGCAGCUUCCCUCAGAGAAACACAGAAGCUUGCCGGAGAUCCCGGGGGAGGGCUCGUCACAGCGCUGAGCAAAGGCACAUCAAACCCUGAAGAGCAGUUUUUAAAGCAACGUGAGGUAGUGUGGCACUCAGCGAAAGAAGUGGAUCCCCCUAGUUGUUUUGGGGGGAUGUGGGAGGCGGCAGGGAGGCCCUGACAUUUGCCAACACCACUGCGCCAACCCCAGGGGGCAGGGAUACCCCGGGAUACCCCAGGUCACCGGGUUAAAUUGGAAUUCCCGAUAAACAAUAAAGAAGGUCUUGGUGCAAGUAUGUCCCAAAUAUCACACUGCUGUUUCUCUGAAAUUCAAGUUUAAUUGUGCGUGAGAUCUUUCUGUUGGCUGAAUCUGGCAACCUUGGCCUCACUGCAAAGUCUGCUGUGGGGCUCUACCUGCACAAGGACCAGAGCCUUCUGCCCAUGAACCCAAGGAGGCGGUUGGGCCCAGCAAGGAUGAGGCUGGGGAAGAGGAAUGAUUGUUUAUUUAGUCAAGAGGGGGAAGAUAUAAAAGGACUGAUGCUGUAGGGAAAUAGGCGUGAGGACGAAGGCCCAUGGAAUCUUAGCACUUGAACCCCUAGGUUCUUUGGGGCCUCCUGAGCCCUGGGGCAACUGGAUGAUCUCAUAUGUGAUUUUGGGUUUCUUUCCCCCAAAUCUGAAAUUAGCAGCAACCAGCGCACAAGGUCCCACAACCAAGCUCUGGAGGUACCUCCUAACGGCCCCAGGUGACGGCUCUGGGGCCUGGCCCUUCCCACUUGCAAAAGUUCACGUCCACCUCACACCACAGCAGAGACGGCGAUGUGGGAGGAGAGGUGGCCGGCCCUCCUGCGAGAGCAGAGCCAGGGUGGCCUGAAAGUCAAGGGCCCUGCGGGUGGCUGUCACCACCACACCCCCCUUGGGAGGCCUUGGGGCAGACCCAGUGCAGCAGCUAGUGCAACUGUUGUCAAACAGCGUCACGGCCACAGCCAGCAGGCGGCGGGGGUCCUCAGAAGAGCCCACCCCAGGCCAAGCAAAGGCAAACAGAGAAGUCCAGCUCCAGUACCACCGACCUCCAGGCCCUGACCCCUCUGGCCAGGAGCAUCCGCAGCUGCAGACCAUCCCCCCCCGUCUGCCCUCUGAGUCUCCUGAGCUACCUCUGUGCACUCACCUCUCCCAGGGUCCCCGAAGAGGCAGAAAAGCCCUGGGUUUGGAGUGACUUUAGGGAGCAUCUAUGUGCUCCGAUUUCCUCUCAGCCCGCCUCCUUGAAGACACGAAGAACUCAUUCUUCCAUGGUCAGCUUCUUCUACCUCUGGUCAUUCCUUACACUGAGUCCAAACCGAUUGACUCUCACACCGUUACCCAGAACCUGGGGCCACCUGGAGCCCGUGUCACCCUCUACUGUAUGACACCUGUAUCAAUUUACAGGACAGUUCUCAACUCUGUGGGGAUAGAAGCAUGAAACAGUUUUAUUUUUUCCUCCAAUGAUUUUUUUUUUUAAAUU